rnacentral:rRNA from 1 species
AUCCGCCCGGGAACUACGAUNNNNAGCUUAAAACCCAAAGGACUUGGCGGUGCUUUAGAUCCACCUAGAGGAGCCUGUUCUAGAACCGAUAACCCCCGUUCAACCUCACCCUUCCUUGUUUUAUCCCGCCUAUAUACCGCCGUCGUCAGCUUACCCUGUGAAGGGACUAUUAGUAAGCAAAACUGGUACAACCUAAAACGUCAGGUCGAGGUGUACCGUAUGGAGGGGGAAGAAAUGGGCUACAUUCGCUACUACAGCGAACACGGAAUAGUGUACUGAAACAUACACUUGAAGGAGGAUUUAGCAGUAAGCAGGAAAUAGAGCGUCCC